rnacentral:rRNA from 1 species
AAAUCCGGGAUUCUAAGGCCGAGAGCUGAUGACGAGUUAUCUUUUAGAUGACGAAGUGGUUGAUGCCAUGCUUCCAAGAAAAGCUUCUAAGCUUCAGGUAACCAGGAACCGUACCCCAAACCGACACAGGUGGUUGGGUAGAGAAUACCAAGGCGCUUGAGAGAACUCGGGUGAAGGAACUAGGCAAAAUGGCACCGUAACUUCGGGAGAAGGUGCGCCGGUGAGGGUGAAGCAUUUACUGCGUAAGCCCAUGCCGGUCGAAGAUACCAGGCCGCUGCGACUGUUUAUUAAAAACACAGCACUCUGCAAACACGAAAGUGGACGUAUAGGGUGUGACGCCUGCCCGGUGCCGGAAGGUUAAUUGAUGGGGUUAGCUAACGCGAAGCUCUUGAUCGAAGCCCCGGUAAACGGCGGCCGUAACGAUAACGGUCCUAAGGUAGCGAAAUUCCUUGUCGGGUAAGUUCCGACCUGCACGAAUGGCGUAACGAUGGCGGCGCUGUCUCCACCCGAGACUCAGUGAAAUUGAAAUCGCUGUGAAGAUGCAGUGUAUCCGCGGCUAGACGGAAAGACCCCGUGAACCUUUACUAUAGCUUUGCACUGGACUUUGAAUUUGCUUGUGUAGGAUAGGUGGGAGGCUUUGAAGCGUGGACGCCAGUUCGCGUGGAGCCAACCUUGAAAUACCACCCUGGCAACUUUGAGGUUCUAACUCAGGUCCGUUAUCCGGAUCGAGGACAGUGUAUGGUGGGUAGUUUGACUGGGGCGGUCUCCUCCUAAAGAGUAACGGAGGAGUACGAAGGUGCGCUCAGACCGGUCGGAAAUCGGUCGUAGAGUAUAAAGGCAAAAGCGCGCUUGACUGCGAGACAGACACGUCGAGCAGGUACGAAAGUAGGUCUUAGUGAUCCGGUGGUUCUGUAUGGAAGGGCCAUCGCUCAACGGAUAAAAGGUACUCCGGGGAUAACAGGCUGAUACCGCCCAAGAGUUCAUAUCGACGGCGGUGUUUGGCACCUCGAUGUCGGCUCAUCACAUCCUGGGGCUGAAGCCGGUCCCAAGGGUAUGGCUGUUCGCCAUUUAAAGUGGUACGCGAGCUGGGUUUAGAACGUCGUGAGACAGUUCGGUCCCUAUCUGCCGUGGACGUUUGAGAUUUGAGAGGGGCUGCUCCUAGUACGAGAGGACCGGAGUGGACGAACCUCUGGUGUUCCGGUUGUCACGCCAGUGGCAUUGCCGGGUAGCUAUGUUCGGAAUAGAUAACCGCUGAAAGCAUCUAAGCGGGAAACUAGCCUCAAGAUGAGAUCUCACUGGGACCUUGAGUCCCCUGAAGGGCCGUCGAAGACUACGACGUUGAUAGGUUGGGUGUGUAAGCGCUGUGAGGCGUUGAGCUAACCAAUACUAAUUGCCCGUGAGGCUUGACCUA